GACGAACGCUGGCGGCGUGCUUAACACAUGCAAGUCGAACGGAAAGGCCCUGCUUUUGUGGGGUGCUCGAGUGGCGAACGGGUGAGUAACACGUGAGUAACCUGCCCUUGACUUUGGGAUAACUUCAGGAAACUGGGGCUAAUACCGGAUAGGAGCUCCUGCUGCAUGGUGGGGGUUGGAAAGUUUCGGCGGUUGGGGAUGGACUCGCGGCUUAUCAGCUUGUUGGUGGGGUAGUGGCUUACCAAGGCUUUGACGGGUAGCCGGCCUGAGUGGGUGACCGGCCACAUUGGGACUGAGAUACGGCCCAGACUCCUACGGGGGGCAGCAGUGGGGAAUAUUGCACAAUGGGCGGAAGCCUGAUGCAGCAACGCCGCGUGCGGGAUGACGGCCUUCGGGUUGUAAACCGCUUUCGCCUGUGACGAAGCGUGAGUGACGGUAAUGGGUAAAGAAGCACCGGCUAACUACGUG
rnacentral:rRNA from 1 species